AUUUAACAAGCUAGUUUUCUGUUUCCAUAAAUACAUCUUUUUAUGGGAUAUGUUUCUUGUUUGGGAUUUGGACAAUUCAACUGUUUGCAUUUUCCUCGUGCAAGAUUUACACAGAGGCACAUAUUUAACCAACUAGUUUUCUGUUUCCAAGCUUCUAAUUCCAAUUCCUUCUCUGAGUCUCCCCCGUCUCUCCCUCUCUCAUUCUUUCUCUUUCUCCCUCCUUCCCUCGAUCCUCCUCUCCUCUUUGUAAAGAGCUUGACAGCUCAGUCCCUCCUUGUCUCCCAGGAGCAUGGGCUGGACCAUCUGGUCCUAUGUUCUCUGGUCCCAUCUCUGGGAGACUGCAGGAUAACAGCAGUCCUUUGAAGAAGCCAGCUGCUCUGCGGAUGCCUGGGAAGUUGAAGGAGGCAGCACCACAGGCUGACACUUCCUGCCUCCCCACACCACCCACCCCACACCCCCAGGAAGCUGGCUUAGGAAAGAGAAUGAUACAGGAAGGGCUCUUCUGCUGUUGGCCUGCAAGUGACUCCACUUGGCAGGGGUGGAGGAAGGAAGAGUGUUCAGAGUCCUGGGGGUCCUCCCCUGGGGGCUGCCCAUCUCCCAGUGGCAGGACUCAGCGGCCACCAAGAGGACAGAUGAGGAACUGAUUAUAGGUUCUACUCCCAAACCAGGGGUUUCAAGCUAAUCCUAGUUACUUCACUUGAAAUGUAUGAGGUGAAACCCCAUGAAACUGCCAAUACUUGACUGCUUGGACCUAAAAAAUGGUCAAACCCAAAUCUCACAUGUGGCCACCUAAUCUAUCUUGUAUGACAUCUCUUCAUAAGGAAAUCAUGGAAAACCUUUGGAAGGUCUUCAUGGGUAAUUUUUACUACAUCAUUCCCACGUUUAGAAAUCCCUGUUAACCUCAUGAUAAAGUUAGGUCGCAGAUGCCAUCACAGUGGCAAGGAAGCUCCCUUCAAAGACCUCAGCCUCCCUACCUACGGUGUUCAAUCCCCUUUCUUAGCAGCCAUCCAAUCAGUCUUCUCAACCUUCCCAAACAUUUCUCUUCCUUCACCUUUUGAAGUUCAGUUUAAGUCAUAAGGGUUUCCAACAUUUUUGCUCAGCACACAGUGGGCCCCAAGCACUGUGCGUGUAUUACCUUAGUUUCUUACCAUCGCUCUACAGGUCAGGGGCUGUGGUCUCCAUUUUCAUAUGAAGCAACUGAAUAAUAAAGAGUUUAAGGAAUGUGCUCAAGGUCAUAGCUGGGAAGCAGUAGAGUUGAGAAAUUUCCCAAAGCCAUGUCUUCACCUUUGGCAAGUCAUUAGUUCUCAAAGUGAUUACAUGUGGAAAUGAAAAGGACUAGGCUUGAAAUCUUAAUAUUAUUUCUGACUUCAACCUCUCCUUCUCCUCCAAGUUCUAAUUUUGACUCUUUAUUAGUAUGCCUUUAAACUUGGAGCGACCUAACCCAACCACUAACAUAUAUUAAGAUAUUUUGGUGUGAAUCUCCAAAAUACUUUAAUAGAAAGGCAAUGAAGAAUUGGGAAAUGUGGCCUGAGAGUGUCCGAUACCUGUUCAGAAGAGUGACAACUGGAAAUUCUCUUUACCAUCUUUCAUCUCCAUACAGAUUCUAAUUAGUACCAUGGACUUUUCCAUGAGAUUUUAAGUUGCACCUCCCUAACCUGACCUGUUGAGUGUCAUAAAGUUUUAGUACAUAAAGGUUUUAGUACAGAAUUUGUUUAGAAAUAAUUUCAUACUAAGCCUCCUUUCAGAGGUGAGAACACUGAAGUCAUAAAGGAAGUGACUCAAGGUCACACCUUGUGAUUUGCAGUUAACUUUGAGGGGAAAUCCAUCAUCCAUCUUAGAAGCCAAGGAAAAGGCCAAGGAGUACAGCUGUGGAAAUGGCAUAGGUUAACACAUUAAAAGCUAGAUUACCCAACUAACUUCUGAGAAAGAGAGCAUGAAAUGCUUUCAGGCCUCUUAUAGUGAAUGAACAGAACAUUUUGCUGUUGGCAUAUUUGGUUUAAUCCCUUUGCCUCUAAUACCCAAAAAGAGUCCUUUUUUUUUUUUUUUUUUCCUAAUGUCACAGCCAGCUGUGCUCUAACAUUUCAGCAAAUUAAAAAAUAAUUACCUCAAUAAUGGAUUCGGUGCUGAGUUUAAUCACUCUGAAAAAGUACUCUUCCCUUUAUGGAGCAGUAAAAUUUGCCUUUCUGGAUGGACCAUCAUUUAAAGGUCCCUAAGAACUUUAUGUCUUUGUCAACAUAGAUUGACAUUAACAAUAGAAAAUGAGUAGAUGGCUAGAAGCCAGAGUAUCUACAAGAGGGAAAUAAGUCUAGUCACCAGCAAUAUCCAGGGAGCUGAUUUUAUAAUUACCUAGGUAAGGAGGAAAAACCAACCAACCAACAAAAUCUCACAUUCUGGGAUUCUUUAAUUGACAGAUAUAAUGAGUAGGACAUAAUCAGUUUGUUUAUAAAUUAUAGACUUAUUCUCCCUCUUUCUAUUCACUAGUUUUAUCCAAUUUCUCCAGAGUGAAAUUCCCUAUUUCCAUUGAGCUCCGCCUCAGGCAGAAAGUCAGGUCUUCAUUUCACUCCCUGUUCCACACAGAAAACCCAAGUCCCCAUCCUACCUCUAUAAAGCAAGCAAGUAUUCAACAUGACUAGACACCAAGUUAUCCAUAAGUGAUAUGUUGGCAGGUUAUAUUCAUUAACCAUAAUCAAACAGUGUGGUAAAAAAAACCACUCCACUCCCCAAAUUAGUGGUUUAGAACCAUCCUGUGGUUCUACGAAUCUGUGAGCUGGCUGAUCUUAGCUAGGCUUGGCUGAACUCACUCACUCUCUCAGCAGCUUGCUGGGAGUUAUCUGAUCUAGCCUACACUUGCACCGCUCCACAAACCUCUCAUCCUUCUCCUGGGGCUAGAAGCCAGCCCAGGCAUGUUCCUCUUGCAGAGAUGGCAGAGGUACCAGUGCAAAAGUAAAACAAAUCCACUCAAGACUCAUAUUAGUCCAGAUAUCAUCACUUCCAUCUCAUUCUCUUGAACAAAGCACAUCAUAUAUCCAAACUGGUGGGCAAAAGAUAGGAAAAAAGCACUCCUUGCCAACAUUGGGAAGGCACUUUAAAGUCACAUGGCAAAAGGCAUGAAUAAAGGGUAGUAUAAAUGAUUGUGAACAAUGACAUAAUCUACCAGAGCAGGGAAUCCCUUCCAUUCUGUUCCUGGUGCUCUGAGAUGAGAAUCUUCAUUCUCACUUCUACUCUAAUGACUCAUUUUCUCUCCAGACCACUCUUUCUCUUGAUUUUUAGUUGCCAUUCUAUCCUUUCUCUCUUAUUCUCCCAAGGCAGUCUUAUCUAAGUCUCCUAGAGGGAAAAACUGAUCUCAUGAGACUACCACUGAAAAGUCCAUUUGGAUGUACCUUGAACCUUCAUUUUUGAUUCAUUAAGAUCAAGAUUUAGUUCCAGGCUUUCUCUCUCUCUCUACUUCUUACCAGCUCUGCUUCUCUCUGUGUGGCUUUCCUCAUCUCCCUCCAUGUAGUAGCAAAGAUGGCCACCAGAAGCUUUAAGUCAACUUUUUCCAAACUCAUCACUCCUUCUCCCAAAGUGUACACAGUAACCCUGGCCACAUCUCCAGUUAGCUCUGUUGGGGUCACCUGCUUAGGCUUGUAUCAAUCUCUGCAGAAUAAUCUUAAAUGAAUAAUCAUAUUAGCCAAUACGAAUCAUGUGCCUGCCCUUGUAAAGGAUGGGAGGGGCUCAGAUAUUAUGGCACCGGCAGGACCACAUGGAGUAGGGGAGGAAUUAUUCAAAUGAUCCAGGAGAAGGAAAUUAGGAAAGUUAGCUGGGCAAACAAAAACACUACCUCCUGUAGUACAUCAAAACUAAAGACUUAUAAUGCCUUAUUUGCAUUUCAUUCAACUCUACAUGGUGCACAUUCUAAAUACAAUGGGCCUUGCAGAAUGUUAAUAUUAAUUCAGAUAAUGCACGCUCCCUUUCCCAGUUCCUAUAUCUACUGGUCUCCAUUUGUAUGCAUGAAAACAUUGAUUAGAUAAUUGGAAGAAAAUAAAGAAAACAAUGAUGGAAAAAGAAGGAUUUGAAGAAGACAGGAUGUGAUGGGAAAGAUGGAAAAAUAGAACUCUGCUGUUUUCAUUGAUUUUUAGGGGAGUCAUUUAAAGGGAGUGGGUCAAAGAGUACUUUUGAUAUUCUGGGCCCAAAAAGAAGUUCUUUGAGGUCCAGUUGAAGUGGAAUGCAUGUUUAGAAGGAGGUUCAUUUAGAUACCUCUUACUAGGACAAAUCACCACUUUGGGUACCCUAGGGUCUAGAAGUAGCUGAAGCAACCAGAGUUAUAGCAAUCCUCAUUUUGCUGUGUUGGCAAGGAGACUUCUUUAAGCUGCUUAUUAGAGCUCAGAUGUGGCCAGUGGAAGCCAGAAUAAGAACAAUGUAAGUGCAAAGCACUCCUCUGGGACUGCAGAAGAUAAUAUCCAGCUUGAAGAAUUAUUCAAAUAUUAAACUAAGUCAUUUGACAUUAUGCAAGUCUUUAAAGGAAUAUUCAAAGUAGGACAAACAAAAGAUGGAAAGCAGCACUUGUUAUAAAUUAUUAAUUCUUGGAGUUUCCAUCCUGGCUCAGUGGAAACGAAUCUAACAUCCACGAGGACACAGGUUCGAUUCCUGGCCUCAUUCAGGGGGUUAAGGAUCCGGCUUUACUGUGAGUGGUGGUGUGGUUUGCAGAUGCAGCUCAGAUCUGGCAUUGCUGUGGCUGUGGUGUAGGCUAGCAGCUAUAGCUCUGAUUCAACACCUAGCCAUGGAACCUCCAUAUGGAGGGAGUGAGGCCCUAAAAUACAGAAGACCCCCCAAAAAGUAUUAAUUAUUUAGUUCAUGUUGACACCUACAAACAAAAGGAGAAAUAGAGAAUGGAAUUUAAGAAUCAUUCACUGUAUAAUCCGGGUAAUCCCAAAUAACAUAUUUAAGGCAAUGUCAUUGAAAAAACAAACAAACAAACAAAAACCCCUACACAUUUGAACAAGAAAAGUGCUUUUUCCUACAUAUUCCUUCUCUCAUUCAUUGGAUAAUAUGACAGAUCAUAUGUUUGUAUUCUUCGUUUUCUCUAUUUCAAAGAGUAAGAUCAGAUAUAUAUAUAGCCAUAAUAAAUCAGCAUAGCUUUUGUUUCUCCCCAAAGUUCCACAUAAAAAUAGAGCAACUAGAUAGCAAUACCAAAACCACACACAACAUUUACAACAAAACUAAGCAACAAGGUAGCUCUAAAACACAACCAAUUUCUAGCACUGGAAAGACAGAAGAAUGUCAGGCUCAGUCAUAUUGGAAUAUUGGGUCCCUGGAAUAUUCCUGGGCCCCAAGCUGUUGACCAGGAAAUGUACAGAUAAGCCUAGAAACACCUAUCAGAUAGUUAGAAAGAUACCAAAAAUCUAGGUUCAUGUGGAAACAGAUUCAUAAGCCAAUCUGAAGUUCCCACUAGCCAAAUUGAACACAAAUUGAGUGUCAGUAAAGAUAAGAAUUGCAAACUCAUCACAUAUUUUAAAUCUAUUAAUUAAUAAUGUAAAAAUUGGUCACUUUCAAAGGAUAACAGAAAGCAAAUUUGUUGAUUUAAAAACUGGCAAAUACAUCAAGUAUGUAUUCUGCUUUUCCUGCAUGAACUGUACCACUGGGCAACCAAACAGACCAUGAAGGGAGGUAUCUCAGCUAAUAAAUGCAAAUAAAAUGAUAGAAUUGGCAUAUCAGCACUUACAACCCCCCAGUAAUGAAUGGAUCUAGGCAUCAAUUCCUAUAAGAAUAAAGUAUAAAUCAGAGAGCUUGUCUCUCCUGAUAAAAGAACACAUCACCCAAAGUCUAGCCAAAGGUAGUGAAGUUGAGUCUAAUAAAAGUUUAUUCCAUUGUAAAUUUGCACUGAGGGAUAUAUACUGGGAAUAAUACUGAGGGAUAUAGUUGAACUGCACCAUCAUAAAAUUCACAAAGUCUAGACCAUGCAAAACUUUACCAAACAUCCCAGGUUUUUCAGCAGAUCAAAUUAAGAGAAAGAAAAGGAGAGAAGGAGAAUCUUUAGCUCUAAAAAGAGUAGGUAGUUUGUUACACAGCAGUACUUAGCUGAAACAGCAACUAUGUGGGCUUAAUAUAUAAUCAAUCAUAUAUUAGAAUUUCAGCCUUUGCCUGACUUGCUCUAUAAUUAAAAGUGUUAAUUUUCCAUAUGUCAUUCUCCUCUUUUUUCAACAUCUCCCUUAAUUUCCUACUGUCGACUGAAAGAGGAUAGUACAACCCAGGCUCUAGCAAUAAAAUUCAUAUAUAUUCAUUGAGGCCUUCAUCUCUGGCCUCACCUGGCAUUCGUUUUCUCUUCUUGAAGUCAUAUCAUUUUGAUCCCUCAUGGGCCCUGUGUGAGAGGAGUACUCUUAUUACCUACAUUUUCUUUUGCCUUUAUUCCUUGAUAAGGGUUGGAAAUAGGGUGGGGCAGGAGG
rnacentral:lncRNA from 1 species